GGGGGCGGAUUGGGCCUGGUGGCCCGCCUGGACUUCAAAUCCAGUGGGAGGCAUGAGGACUGUCUCCGGUGGGUUCGAUUCCCACACGCUCCC
rnacentral:tRNA from 1 species